UUCCUGUGAUGAGAACCUUGUCAGUUCUGCUGCUGAUGACUGGUGAUGACACUGCUACUUCUGAGGAA